AUUGAACGCUGGCGGCAGGCCUAACACAUGCAAGUCGAGCGGAGCGGCGGACGGGGGAGUAAUGCCUAGGAAUCUGCAUGGUAGUGGGGGAUAACGUCCGGAAACGGGCGCUAAUACCGCAUCCUAUCAGAUGAGCCUAGGUCGGAUUAGCUAGUUGUUGGGGUAAAGGCCUACCAAGGCGACGAUCCGUAACUGGUCUGAGAGGUGGAUCAGUCACACUGGAAAGGAGACACGGGCCAGACUCCUACGGGAGGCAGCAGUGGGGAAUAGUGGACAAUGGGCGAAAGCCUGAUGCAGCCAUGCCGCGGGUGUGAAGAAGGUCUUCGGAUUGUAAAGCACUUUAAGUUGGGAGGCGUUACCAACAGAAUAAGCACCGGCUAACUUCGUGCCAGCCGCCGCGGUAAUUC
rnacentral:rRNA from 1 species